AAUCACACCUGUGUAACGAAGCCUCCAUAAAACCCCUAAAGGACAGGGUUUGGAGAGCUUCCAUGUUGGUGAGCUCCUGGAGAUUCAGGGAGAGAGGUAAGGGAAGCCCUGUGCUCUUCCCGGUCGCUGGCCCUGUGCGUCUCUUCAUCAGGCUGCUCCUGAGUUGUGUCCUUCUAGGAUAAACUGGUGACCUAGCAUGUCAUGUUACCCAGAGAACUUUCCAAACAAGUCCCGAAAACCCAUCUGAUGUCUGAAGAGGAGUGGAGGAGACUUGGUGUCCAACAGAGUCUAGGCUGGGUUCAUUACAUGAUUCAUGAGCCAGAACCACAUAUUCUUCUCUUUAGACGACCUCUUCCAAAAGAGCAACAAAAAUGAAGUCUAUCUGGGGAUCGUCAAUUAAAUCUUUUUCACAUUUAAUGUAUAUGUGUAUAUAAGGUAGUAUUCAGUGAAUACUUGAAGAAUGUACAGACUGUUGAUCCGUACCUGUGCAUGAGCUGUAUUCUUCACAGCAACAGAGCUCAGUCAAAUGCAACUGCAAAUAGGUUACUAUAAGGUGUUUAAGAUAAAAUUUCUUCUAGUCGGUUUUUCUCUUAAUAUAAGUGCCUGUUUGACUUUACCUGUUACUUUUGUUAAAUAAAGUUUGUAUGUUGCAUUUAUUA